CGGCAGCGGGGUAGGAUGGCGCUAAAGCGGAUCCAGAAGGAAUUAACCGACUUGCAGAGGGAUCCUCCUGCCCAGUGUUCUGCAGGACCUGUCGGUGAUGACUAAUGACAGUCCUUACCAAGGAGGUGUUUUCUUCCUGACCAUCCACUUUCCUACAGAUUACCCGUUCAAGCCCCCAAAGGUUGCUUUCACAACCAAAAUUUAUCACCCUAAUAUCAACAGCAAUGGCAGCAUCUGCCUCGAUAUCCUGCGGUCUCAGUGGUCUCCAGCGUUGACUGUGUCAAAAGUUCUCUUGUCCAUCUGCUCACUGCUCUGCGACCCCAACCCCGAUGACCCCCUGGUGCCAGAGAUAGCCCACACCUACAAGGCCGACAGAGAGAAGUACAACAGACUAGCAAGAGAGUGGACACAAAAAUAUGCUAUGUAAGUGCCUUGGAGGUUUUACAUGAGACACUGUCCAAGAGAAGCUGGCAGAGAGGUCUUCCCUUAAAACUUUGGGCUGUUGGCUGAGCCAUUCAAAGAGUAUCAUCUGUUCUUCAAACAAAUGUUGGUCACCCACUCUCUCCAGCUGCAGCAUGUUGGUGCCAUUUUCAGCAAUUGUGGCUUUGACAGUGCCACCUCUUUGAUGCCAAAUCAGCAACCAUUGUUGUUAUGAUCUGCAGUCUUCCUGGUGACACUGGAAUCUCUCUCUCUGCCGCCUCAGUUUGUCUGCUGGUCUCUUGGGGGGCCAGGCCCUGCACGUCUCUCCUACCCGGCCUCAAAUGGUGCUGCUGCCCAUGAUGGUACCACACCAGGGCCUCAGCCUGGCCCCUCACCACAUACCCUUUGCCUUUUAGAACUCAGUGCCAUCCUGGGUGCCCAGGGAAGAGCAGGCUUUGUUCGCACCUCAUCUGCUGCAGAACCACAUCCUGAGGAGUCUCAGCUUAUCCUGGAGGGAAUUGGGAACAGUGUCACUGGGAAGUGAAGGCCUAGACCUGCGGCUUCCACCAGUCUCCUCCUGCAGUGCCACGUGCUGGCAUUUCUCGCCUCACACCAAGAAGCAGCAAGUGGAAAAUUUCAGGAUACAAAGCACAUAACACCCCAUAAGAGAUGAUUAUGUUUUUAGAAGCAAGAGCAAAAUUAUGAAACCUCUAGAGAUUUGGGUCAUGUUACUCCAUUUGAUGAGGAUUCUCACUACCGCCCGCUCCUCCCAUAGGAGCCUACACUAAGUCCAAGUGUGAGCCAUUCACAGACUAGAACACAAGGAGGGAGAGAGACUCUUAAAUGUAAAUAAAAAUGCAAUUCACUCACAACUCUAAA
rnacentral:sRNA from 1 species